UGAGCGGCAUUGUUGAAGGGAAGAGAUCCCAGAGCCUCUACAGUAAAUGCCGCAGUCAUUGCGGUUGCCGGGACAACCUUGGGUAAAACCGUUAAGCAGGCAAAUUGGGUUGAAGUCAUUCCUUUUCACAAUGUUCCCGCCCAGGUCACAUUCCUGAGCUUUUCUUCCGCGGCUUUUGGGCUCAAAUGGGAGAAAAUAAGGAAAACGAAAUGGUUAUUCGUGUGAAGGGGCUGAUUUCAGUGACACAGCAGCGGCUCAGUAAGUUUACCUGCUGGUUGUGACGUCGGGGUCCUGGGAGCUCAAAUAGGUCAACAAAUGAAGCCUGAGAUUCUCAACAGUCCAGACGUGAUGGUUUUGACCGGCUUCGCCCUUGACACUUGACUUCUUGGUUUUAAUUCUAAUUAUAGUAUCUGAUAUAACGAUGAUAGCUUAGUGCAGCUAUUACUCUUUGAUGUGGAUUGUUUCAGGCCCCGUGCUUCUCUAUCUCGGCCUUUCCUUCAGCCCUGGAAGGAAGGCACCUUAGCUGUGUCUCACCGAUGAGCAAGCCGACUGGGAGGUGGCAGAGCAGGGAGAGGCACCCAGGCGGUUUGGCCAGACCUUCACCCUACUACCUCUCAGGACAGCAGGAAACUUCAGGAAAAAAUGUGUGCAUGUGGUACGGAUACAUGAAGUAUCUCAAGGGAAAUCUCCCCAAGUGGAAAAACAAAAUGAGGGAGGUGGAAUAUGAAAUUAUAUUCACUGACACCCAAUUUGACCUGAGGUUAAACCCUGUGAGCUUAACAACAUUGACACAGAAGUCUUUAUAUAGAGGUGUUUUUGAAUUCUGUAGGGCUAAUACAGGAUUAAUGUACUAGAACACUACUACCCUACAUGUUUUUUGCACAAAUGUUAAUAUGAAUUACAGUAGUUGUCAAAUAAUGUGUAUUUAUUGUUUUCAUACUGUAAAUAUUCAUCAAAUUAACUUUGCAAACAUAAGCCUUCUUAAGCUCAAGUCAUUGAAGUGUUUCAAUUCUUUUUAACAUGUUAAUAAUCCAUUUUUUUUAUGUACACCCUCCCCUCAUAAUUUGUCUUCAUAAAACAAUGUUUUUGACUCAAAAAUUUAAAAAAAUCCAGAAUGAGACUGUACUGGAUUUUUUUUUUUUUUUUUGCUUUAUAGGGCUGUACCCACGGCAUAUGGAGGUUCCCAGGCUAGGGGUCCAGUCGGAGCUGUAGCUGCUGGCCUAUGCCAGAGCCACAGCAACAUAGGAUCUGAGCAGCGUCUGAGACCUACACCACAGCUCACAGCAACGCCGGAUCCUCAACCCCCUGAGUGAGGCCAGGGAUCAAACCUGAAACCUCAUGGCUCCUAGUCGGAUUUGUUUCCACUGAGCCACAAUGGGAUCUCCAGUACUGGAUAUUUUUUAUUUGCCCUCCACUUCCAAUCCCCACUUUUUUCAGCCUGCUUUUUGCUGUGGGAUGCUGGUCUGUGUUCUGUAUUUGCUAUGGUUAUAGGUUUCUUCAAUUACUUCCUUAGUGACCCUGACUGAUGCAAUAGUGGCCCUAGGAAAUUGCUUCUUAGGAUAGAAUGCUGAGUUGAAUUGUUUGUGUUCAAGGAGCACAGGGAUAAACUCUUGCUAGCAAGAAACAUAUUAUGAUAAUCAAAGGCAUGUGGGCGCAUCAUGAGUCCUGAAAUCACCAGCAGUGGCAGCACCAGAUGAAAUGUACAUGAAGGAUAGUUUAUUCAGAGGUGGCUGUGGCACAUAAUUGCUAUGCAAACAGUUUAUGAAUGAUUACAGAGUUUACAGAAGGCAUAUGGAAUUUCCUAGGCUAGGGGUCGAAUUGGAGCUGCAGCUGCUGGCCUAUGCAACCACAGCCACAGCAAUGCCAGGUCUGAGCCCCAUCAUCAACCUACGCCACAGCUUGUGGCAAUGCCAGAUCCUUAGCCCACUGAGGGAGGCCAGGAAUCAAACCUGCAUCCUCCUGGACACUAUUUCAGGUUCUUAACCCGCUAAGCCACAGGGGAGCCCCUUGGCAUCUGUUCUUACCUUUGAUGACCUUAUGUUGCCUCCUUCACUAGAUUGGGUGCUUCUUGAGGGUAGGAAGCAAGCUCUCUGCAGUUCCUGGUAAUGAAUGGCCUGAUCUCAAUAAAUGCUUGUCAUACCAAUUUUGAUUUUAAGUGAAUUAAGUUAGAGGUCUUCUGUUUUUUUUUUUUCCUUAUCCCCUUUGACAAUUUCUGCCUUUUAUUUAUUUUUAAAAAUUUUGAAGUAUGAUUGAUUUACAAUGUUGUGAUGAUUUCUGCUGUAUAGCAAAGUGGUUCAGUUAUACAUAUAUACAUAUCCAUUCUUUUUCAGAUUCUUUUCCCAUAUAGAUUAGCACAGAAUAUUGAGUAGAGUUCCCUGUGCCAUACAGCAAGUCCCUGUGGUUGGUACAUGAAAGUCAUGUGGAGAAAUUUUUUAAAAACUCUGAUGUCUGGGUCUUACCCUCAGUGGCUCUAACUUAAUUGACCCAAUGUGCAUAUAGAACAUCAGGGUUUUAAAGCCUCCUGCUUGGUUCUAAUGUGCCAGCAAGACCUAGAACCACUGCCUGAGGCCAAAAUCAAGAAUGCUCUAAAGGAAACACUGUGAGACUGUUUUUUAUUUCACCACAAUACACUGUGACAAAAAGAAGCAUUUUCUUGCAUUUUGAUGUUUAUGAUGCCUCCUAUAUGUUAACAGAAGAGAUUUGUAUAGGAGUCAGAAUGUGCUGCUGUGAAUUUUUCCUGUCACGUUGAUUCUAUGGAAUCUAUUCUGCAAACAGAAAAGUAUGUUCUCUACUCUCCAUAAAAUUUAAAUCAAUUCAGAACACAUUUCUGAGGCUUCUAAAGAAGCCAUUAACCAGCGCUGCUCAGCCUUCCUUGGCUGCACAUUGGAAUCAGCUGGGGAGUUUUACAAAUCUCAGUGCCUGAGCUGCACCCUAUUCCCAUUAAAUGAGAGUCUCUGGGGAUGAGACCCAGAAAUUGGUACUUUGUGAAGCUCUCUGGGUGAUUCCAAUGUGCAGCCAAGGUUGAAGAACCAUUGCUGUGAAUUAAUACAGUCGCUUUUGGAACUGUAUCUAAUCUUUGUAAACGUGUAUGUUAAUUCUUUUUGUUUGCAUGAAUUGACCUUUACGUGAAUUGAAUGAAAAAAUACCACUAAUUUUACCCUCAUGCUUAAAAAAAAAAAACCCUUAGCUGUCACAAAUCUCAUUUGUUUUUUAUAAAACAAAGCAAAACAAAACAAAACAACAACAACAAAAAAAAGAAAAUGAAAACGGCACAGCUAAGAACAUACUUUGAGAACGCUUGUGAGGAGGAAGUUCUGAAGAACCUCUCACUUCCAGUGGUCUCAGGAAACGUAAGGCCAAAGCCAAGGGUCUGCUGGUGAAUGUGACAGCACUGAUUAAAUGUUCAGUCCUGUUGGCCCUCUUAACUAAUAGGGGGAGUGGGAUCCUGGGAAGGAGUAUGACAUUUGUGCAAAAUUUAAAAGGCUGAGAACUUGUAAUCUCCCUUUUCCCACAAACCUCUCUUCCUUAUAGAGGCAGCCUCCUCUACCCCUCUCACUUUAUUGAUGCCAUUUGCUAACUAAAUCUGAUGAGCAAGAAAUAGCUGUCAAGAACUGUGAUGGUCUGAGAUUUUACCCCACUAAAAUUUUAUUGGAACACAGCAACACCAUUCAUUUACAAAUUAUUGAUGACGGCUUUCACAUUGCAGUGGCAGAGCUGAAUAGUUCCAGCAGAAAUCAUGGCCUGCAAAGCCUGAAACAUUUAGUAUCUGCCCCUUUCCAAAGAAGUUUGCUGACCAGGGUUCUAAUCCACAGAACUAAAAACCUGGAUGUGACAAGCAGCAUUCCAUUGUCAAGUUGGAGUGGUGUCCACCAGCCCAGGGCUGAGCAGCCCCAAGUUCACAAGCUGCAUAGAAGACUUGGGUCCUAUAUCAUCUCCUCCUCUGCUGCCUCUCUCCCCAUCUGUACCUCGGGAACUUUGGGCCAUUUCAUAUGGAGGAAAAGACCUGGUUUCUGGAUGUGGACGGGACACUACACCAUGGCCUCCUCUCGAGUAGGAGGGAAUCCUGUUAGGGAGCAAACUGGAUGGUGCAUCAAGUCUACUGCUAAAGGAAGAUAUGUCUAACUCUGGUGGCUCAAGGGCAAUAGCUAACAGGUUGGCCAGCUGGUCAAAGUUUUGGAAAAAACAGAAACUUGGUGAUGUGUAGUUCUGGCAGGGAGAGGUAUGUAAAAGGGCCCCUCCAGACAGGAACAGAAGAAAUCGGUGUCCCAAAUAAAUGCCAUCAGAGAGCAUCCAAGACAAAGAAAGAGCUCAGGAAUCAGGCAAACAAGACCACCUGUCCAGUGGGACAUGGGCCUCUUUCCUCAGGGACCCCGUUCUUUCUUGGUGAACCCUUGUGCACAGUGGCCACGGCGGCAGGGAAGGGGGUGAUGGACGAGCUUGAACACAGCCUCCCCCUUGCCAAGGCUGAUCUGACAGCACUACUGAGGGCCUGAUCCAUUAACAGAGGCCAAGGCAGGACCCCCAGUGUGACUCCACUCUCCAGGAGGACCAACCAGCUACCUGUGACAUGUGGGUUACAUUCAACCCUUUCUAUCUUGGAAGAGGUGCUACCUUUCUUUCUAGAACAGACAUAUUUUAUGAGUAUAGAUUGCUAUACCUGCCCCCCAUCCAUGACUUCCAGAGUGUUUUCUCAAGAGCAGUGAAUCUGAUGGUUUUCAAAAUAUGUCUUAAAAAGUCUACAUGCCUCCCUCCAAAAGGAGAAGCCUCAUUUGUGUCCCUUGACUGGUGUGGACUUAUGGCCUCAUAAUGGCAGAGGGGAUGCACCAUCACUUCCUAGUUUAGGUGAUAAAAAGACUGCAACUUAAAUCCUAAGUGUGCUCUUUCUCUUUUUUUCUUCUUAAGGCUGUACCUGUGGCAUAUGGAAGUUCCCAGGCUAGGGAAUGAAUCAGAGCUGUACUUUCAGGCCUAGGCCCCAGCCACGGCGACAUUGGAUCCAAGCUGCAUCUGCAACCUACAUCACAGCCUGCAGCAAGGUCGGAUCCUUCACCCACUUGAUCAAGGCCAGGGACUGAACCCUUUUGGACACCAUGUUGGGUACUUAACCCGCUGAGCCACACUGGGAACUCCCUGGGUGUGUUCUUACUAUCUCUUUCUCCCCCACCCCACUUGGGGGCUCUCACCGGAAAGCCCUGUUACAGACCAAGUGGAGAGGAACUAGAGCCCAGAAGUGAACUCAGCGAUGAAGGCUGUUCCAGUACGGCCUCAAGAGACUGCAGCAAUCCCUGAAGUUUGUUCCAGGAGAGGUCCUGAGCCAGAGCCACUCAGCUCAGCCACUUGUCUCCUGAUCCCCAGAACCUGUGAGGUAAUAAAUGUCUCUAGUC
rnacentral:lncRNA from 1 species